UACGGAGGAUCCAAGCGUUAUCCGGAAUCAUUGGGUUUAAAGGGUCCGUAGGCGGGUAGAUUAGUCAGCGGUGAAAGUUUAUGGCUUAACCAUAAAAUUGCCGUUGAUACUGUUUAUCUUGAAUAAGUGUGAAGUGGUUAGAAUGAGUAGUGUAGCGGUGAAAUGCAUAGAUAUUACUCGGAAUACCAAUUGCGAAGGCAGAUCACUAACACUUUAUUGACGCUGAGGGGCGAAAGCGUGGGGAGCAAACAGG
rnacentral:rRNA from 1 species